AGGGUUUAUCCGUCCAAGCAUUAAUGGCAAGGAAAGCCACUCAUGCUUGAGAGUGGCCAUGUGUGAGGCAUUUCUUGGAGGUUAUAGUAUUAUACACAUGUGAUUUUCCGUGCAUCAGAUGACCUGUAAAUGCAAAAAAAACUGUUGUCAUAGCAGUUUUGUGAUAUAUUCCAUUUUCGAAUAGCCUGAAAAACCACUUAAUGUAAAACUUUUUUGCAAUACAUGGGAGUUUUGCGAAAUUUAUGUGUUUCCAUUAGGUGUGUUUCAAUUUGUGCAAUUUGAAGGGUAAUGGAAACGCAGCUAUUGAUGCAGCAGAGGGCAUGAUUUUUAAGAAAAAGCUAUUGUAUGGCUUCAUAAGAACAACAUGUUGUGUGAUGUUUUUUUCUGAAACCUCAGAUCAAUGAGUACUUUAAUUGAGCAGCUCAGAUAUUCUGUCUAUCACCUCCUUUUAAUAAAUUCCCCACAUCCAGUCAUAUACUGCCAUUUUUUCUCUUUUUAUUUAAAUCCUGAUUUCUUCUUCUUGACCUUGAAAAGGUCAGAUGGUUGUACGUGCCUGCUCUCACAUAGCUGGUCUGUGUUCUGAGCAGUCAUUUGUGUGUUUUCACCGUCCUCUGAUCCUCAGGUCUGACCCGCACCACUGCAGCUGUCCUCGAGGAGCGUCUGAGCUGCUUCCAUCUGGAUUUCAAAGGCCUUGGUUUCAGGCUGCAGCAUUUCACAGGAGGUGUCCUCCAGCCAAGAGAAAUAGCAAAUUCGAUGCUGCCUUAGAAAACAGGGUUGAAACGGAUCUGUGGAUUUUCACUUUGAUCUUUGGACCAUAAACACCACCGAGGAUGCGAGAGGGGUUUAGAUCAAGACCCUUCGAACAGAUUCUGGCAGUAUAAAACAGUAUCGCCCAUGUCUAUAUCAGGGUUCAGUAAUCCACUGUCUAAAAGAAGCGGCUAAUCACCCUCCUGUGAGGGCUGACCACUGUCAAGACACAGGAGACGCAGUGCUAGCAUGUGGUCUUUAGCAAAAGUCUACUCAGAAAGCCAGUCUUCACCAUGUGUCAUGAGACAGGUAUUUUGAUGGAUUUUUUUGUUUUAACAGCUGCAUUUAAGAUCUUGAUGCUAUGAACUUUAGAGUAGAAUGAACCAUUCUGAGCAUCCAAAAUAUGAGAAAACUUGCAAUUCCCACAAAAUAAAUGAAAGAUCUGUCAUGAUUUGCUUAAUGUA
ensembl:lncRNA